rnacentral:lncRNA from 1 species
GGGGGCCUGGUGUGCUGGCAUCAAGUAAGCCGACUACCUCGGCAAAGGCUUAGGGACAAGAGACCAGCAGCCUGAACUGGCUGGGGCAUCCGGAAGGCUUAGAUCUUGUGGCCAAGAGUUCAGACCGUGGCGAAGUGGAGAGUGACAUGCAGUUGGAUGGCGGUGACUGCGUGAUGAUGUCAGAAGUGGGAUCCAAAGUAGAGCUUAUAAUGACACCUAGGAGUGCUGAGUGACCAAGCAAGGUACCCACCAGGCCGAUUAUGUCCAUUGUUCUCUUGGAGCAGCUGGUCAUCAUGGGAAAGGGUGCCACACUGGGAAUGCAAGCUGUCCUUGCUUCUGAACCAAGACUACUAUUGUGCCAGGAAGAGGGUGGGAAAAGAAGCCAAUAAAACUUUUCUUUUGAGUGAUUUGCAGCUUUUAACAAACUGAACCUGCUUAUUUCUGUGAACCAACCAGUGAUCUCUUAUGGCUGUUCAAAAGUAACAAGAGAGAUAUCACCUUUUGUCAUAACUCAAGUCUUAUGAAUGGCCCUCACCAUAAUGAUGCUUUUUGACUGAGC